rnacentral:tRNA from 1 species
UCCCUGCUGGCUCAGAGGUUAAAGCGUCUGCCUGCAAUGCGGCAGACCCAGGUUCGAUUCCUUGGUGGGGAA